AGCGACGCGCCACAGCUCUGGCGCCACCGGGCCAGCCGGGCUGACGACCGCGGGCUUUCCGGAGCUCUGCCUAGCUCACAGCGGGGACGGUCCCCUCCCUCGGCAGCUGCCACCGCAGCUCCGGAAGCCGAGAGCACGAUCUCAAAGCGGCCGCCAGAUGGAGCCCGACAACCGCCGCGGACGUCAGCGAGACAGAUCCGGCUGGCAGGGCGGCCCGUGGACCGCGAAAGCGAAACCACGGGAAGGAAAGAAACACGAAAAAGAGAGAAAGAAUGAGGAAAGAAACGAAGGAAAGAAGGGAAAAAGAAACAGAGAGGAAAGAAAAAAGAAGGAAACACAGGGAACGAAAGAGAAAUAAAGCACGAAGGAAAAAAGGACAGAAAGAGAGAAAGAAGGAAAGGAAGAGAGGAAGAAAAACCUAAAGAAGGAGAGAAAGGAAGAAAGGAAGGAAGAAAAACACGAAGGAGAGGAAGAAAGAAAACAGAGAUAACUACGUACGCUCGUUCAUUUACACACAUAAAUACGACGCUUUUCAUACGUAAAAUAAACGUCUUUAUCGACGAUCCCUUCUUUAUAGAGCGAUGUGUAUUUAUUUGUAUAACACAGACACCUACAUCUAUCAUACAGAAGUCUAUUUCCAUACAACCGAUACGUAUUUACCAUACGCAAGAGUAUUCAAUGCAGAGAUACACGUUGUCGUUGUUUGCAUAUAAGCGUACAGAAACGUUUACAUUAAUACAUAUAAGUAAACGCGUGGAAACGAAAGAAAUAAAAAAGCGAAAUGAGUCAACAGGCCGGGCACGGUGGCUCACGCCCGUCAUCCCAGCACUUCGAGAGGCCGAGGUGGGCGCAUCACAGGAGGUCGGGAGUUGGAGACCAGCCUGAGCAACAUGGAGAGACACGGCGUGCCUACUAAAAACACAAACAUCAGCCAAGCCAGGCGUGGGGGUGCCUCCCUGUAAUCCCCGCUAAUCGGGAGGCUGAGGCAGGAGAAGCGCUCGAACCCGGGAGGCGGAAGGUGCGGUGAGCCAAGACCGCGCCAUUGCACUCUAGCCGUGGAAACAAGAGUGAAACUCUGUCUCAAAAGGACGAAACAGAAAGAAAGAAAGAAAGGAAGGAAGGAAGGAAGGAAGGAAGAAAGAAAGAAAAGAAAGAAGGAAUGAAUGAAAGAAAAGAAAGCAAGAAAGAAAGAAAGAAAGAAAAAGAAAAGAAAGAAAGAAAAGAAAGCAAGAAAGCACGAAAGCAAGCAAGCAAGAAAGCAAGAAAACAAGGAAGCAAGAAAGCAAGCAAGAAAGAAACAAAAGAAAGAAAGCAAGAAAACAAGAAAGCACGAAAGCAAGCAAGCAAGAAAGCAAGAAAACAAGGAAGCAAGAAAGAAAGAAACAAAAGAAAGAAAGAAAACAAGAAAGCAAGAAAGCACGAAAGCAAUCAAGCAAGAAAGCAAGCAGGAAAGAAACAAAAGAAAGAAAGAAAUCGAGAAAACAAGAAAGCACGAAAGCAAGCAAGCAAGAAAGCAAGCAAGAAAGAAACAAAAGAAAGAAAGAAAGAAAGAAAACAGGAAAGCAAGAAAGCACGAAAGCAAGCAAGCAAGAAAGCAAGCAGGAAAGAAACAAAAGAAAGAAAGAAAUCGAGAAAACAAGAAAGCACGAAAGCAAGCAAGCAGGAAAGCAAGCAAGAAAGAAAGAAAAGAAAGAAAGAAAGAAAGAAAACAGGAAAGCAAGAAAGCACGAAAGCAAGCAAGCAAGCAAGAAAGCAAGCAAGAAAGAAACAAAAGAAAGAAAGAAAGAAAGAAAACAGGAAAGCAAGAAAGCACGAAAGCAAGCAAGCAAGCAAGAAAGCAAGCAUGAAAGAAACGAAAGAAAGAAAGAAAGAAAGAAAACGGGAAAGGAAGAAAGCACGAAAGCAAGCAAGCAAGCGAGCGAGAGAGAGAGAGAGAGAGAGAGAGAGAGAGAGGCUGGGCGCGGUGGCUCACGCCUGUCAUCCCAGCACUUUGGGAGGCUAAGGCAGGCGGACCACCUGAGGUUGGGAGUGGGAGACCAGCCUGACCAACAUGGAAAAACACCGUCUCUACUAAAAGUACAAACAUCAGCCAGGCACGGUGGCCCAUGCCUGUAAUCCCAGCUAAUCAGGAGGCUGAGGCAGGAGAAUCGCUUGAACCUGGGAGGCGGAGGGUGCGGUGAGCCGAGAUCGCGCCAUUGCCCUCUAGCCUGGGCAACAAGAGUGAAACUCUGUCUCAAAAAAAAGAAGAAGAAGAAGAAGAAAAAGAGAAAGUAAUAAAGAAAGAAAGAAAGAAAGAAAAGGCAAGGCCAGGCAAGGCCAGGCAAGGCAAAUCUACCUGCUUUCACUACAUCUGGGGAGAAUCAGGAAAGUCCCCAACAACAACAAGGCCUAAAGUGGAGCUGCCAUCUGUCAAACCCGAGCGGAAGAGUCCACGCGGGUUAAAGACACGAAGAAAGACAAGGAAACCCCUGACCAAGGAGAAGAACAAUCGGGCCCAGCCAGGGUCUGUCUC